rnacentral:rRNA from 1 species
GACGACCCCUGGCGGCACGCUUAACACAUGCAAGUCGAACGAGAGAAGAGGAGCUUGCUUUUCUGAUCUAGUGGCGGACGGGUGAGUAACACGUGAGCAAUCUGCCUUUCAGAGGGGGAUACCGAUUGGAAACGAUCGUUAAUACCGCAUAAUAUAAUUGAACCGCAUGAUUUGAUUAUCAAAGAUUUAUCGCUGAAAGAUGAGCUCGCGUCUGAUUAGCUAGUUGGUAAGGUAACGGCUUACCAAGGCGACGAUCAGUAGCCGGACUGAGAGGUUGAUCGGCCACAUUGGGACUGAGACACGGCCCAGACUCCUACGGGAGGCAGCAGUGGGGAAUAUUGCACAAUGGAGGAAACUCUGAUGCAGCGAUGCCGCGUGAGGGAAGAAGGUUUUAGGAUUGUAAACCUCUGUCUUCAGGGACGAAAAAAGACGGUACCUGAGGAGGAAGCUCCGGCUAACUACGUGCCAGCAGCCGCGGUAAUACGUAGGGAGCGAGCGUUGUCCGGAAUUACUGGGUGUAAAGGGAGCGUAGGCGGGAUCGCAAGUCAGAUGUGAAAACUAUGGGCUUAACCCAUAAACUGCAUUUGAAACUGUGGUUCUUGAGUGAAGUAGAGGUAAGCGGAAUUCCUAGUGUAGCGGUGAAAUGCGUAGAUAUUAGGAGGAACAUCGGUGGCGAAGGCGGCUUACUGGGCUUUAACUGACGCUGAGGCUCGAAAGCGUGGGGAGCAAACAGGAUUAGAUACCCUGGUAGUCCACGCCGUAAACGAUGAUUACUAGGUGUGGGGGGACUGACCCCUUCCGUGCCGCAGCAAACGCAAUAAGUAAUCCACCUGGGGAGUACGACCGCAAGGUUGAAACUCAAAGGAAUUGACGGGGGCCCGCACAAGCAGUGGAGUAUGUGGAUUAAUUCGAAGCAACGCGAAGAACCUUACCAGGUCUUGACAUCGUAUGCAUAGCUCAGAGAUGAGUGAAAUCUCUUCGGAGACAUAUAGACAGGUGGUGCAUGGUUGUCGUCAGCUCGUGUCGUGAGAUGUUGGGUUAAGUCCCGCAACGAGCGCAACCCUUACUGUUAGUUGCUACGCAAGAGCACUCUAGCAGGACUGCCGUUGACAAAACGGAGGAAGGUGGGGAUGACGUCAAAUCAUCAUGCCCCUUAUGACCUGGGCCUCACACGUACUACAAUGGCUGUAAACAGAGGGAUGCAAAGCCGCGAGGUGGAGCGAACCCCUAAAAGCAGUCUUAGUUCGGAUUGUAGGCUGCAACCCGCCUACAUGAAGUCGGAAUUGCUAGUAAUCGCAGAUCAGCAUGCUGCGGUGAAUACGUUCCCGGGCCUUGCACU